rnacentral:lncRNA from 1 species
GAGGAGGAGGAGGGAGGAGACGGGGGUGGGGGCUCGGAGCCGUUCAUUUCCCAGCGCAGAACCAAGUCACAGCAGCAUCUCUCGGGCGGGCGCUCCGGGAUGCGGGGCUGGGCGCACCGGUGCAGCCCCGGCUCCCGCAGCCGCUCCGCUCCCCCUGGAUUCUGGCGUUAUACCCGCGGGGUGCAGCUUCAGAGCCCAGAAACUUUCCCGUUUCCUGCGGCGCUGACGCUGGUUUUUGGCUUAUUCGUUCGAGUUAUCUUUAAAACAUCCCAAAAGGAGUGUUCUGUCAAACCACGACUUCCCUGGACAUCCACAAACCCCAAGAUGCUACACUGCUGUAUGACUGUUUACAGGUGUUUGAGACAAAGCAUUCAGCCCAGCUCUUCUUUCUCAUGUAAAAUUGCAUCCCACUCAGUAAUUCCAUUUGGAAAGUGUAAUUCUGGUAUUCUCUGCAAUAUGGUUGUCUACUUGAAAGGUAGUAGACAUAAAUGUCAAUGAAUCUGGCUAUGGAUGUGUUUUACAUUUGAGGGUGACUACUAUAAUACUCAUUUAUUAUUGGUCUCUAUUUAAAUGCAACCCUCCUCUAAAAAGACAUUCAGUAUAAAUAGCACUAGGUUGCACCACACUGAUUCUAGUUCAGAAGUUCUGGUUUUUAAAUUCAGUUUACAAAUAGAGAUAUAAAAAGAUGGUUUGGCUUUUUUCUUAUUAUUGUUGACUCAAUGAGUCCAGCCUAGAGUUAUAACUCUAUAAACUUAAGCUGAAUCUUCAAGCUUAGCUAGAUUCUUUCAUAAAUCAGAAUGAGUUGUUGAAAUUCAGAAGGACAAAAUAACUCUCAGUUAUGAGUGCACAGCCUCAGUUUGCUCAAAUGAUAUCUUUGGUUAUCUCCAUGCAACCUGAGCACCAUCAUGAAGCUGAGAAAAGAAUUGGGAGGGGGAAAAAAAAAGGAAAAAAACAGGCAAGAGUGCAUUACAAGAGUGACUCUGCAACAGAAAACUGCUUAAUAAUUCUGUUGAUAAAGUGAGAGACAGGGAAGAACUCAUUUCCCUCUCCCAGAGCUCAGUUGGGGUGACUGAAGUUGAAAGAAGUGCAGCUCUCGUAAAGGUAAGCAGGGACAUCCUUCAGUACAGACACUGGAAGUUUGAAAACACUGAAGUCACUGGGAGCUUUGCCAUUGACUUUUGGGGGAGGCAGAAUUUUACCCUGGGAGAAGAUCUGCUGAGUAAGAAAUGGCCCCUUGUAUAUGCUUUCUCUUCAAAGUCAGGUCACCUUUCAAGAGCAUUUUUACUGCUUUUAUUUGCUUGCUCCUAUACAUCCAAUUCAGAACUAGUUCCUAUCCACUUUUUCAUUUUCCUUAUGGUCUUUUUUCUUAAAGGAGAAUUGGGCCUCGGAAAAUAACAGCAUACUGAAUCAUGUUAUUGUUUGUAAAAGCAUCAGUUUUCAACACUCUAAAAUUAUUACACAUUUAAUAUUAAAGCUCAAGAAAUUAAAUAUGCAUAAU